CUGGAUCAUGGGUGUGUGACACUGGAUUAGUCUACUCAUUGGGAUAGCAUAGUUUUGAGUAUGGAUGGUGGAUUUACUGGAGGGAAGGCCCCUCCCCCAAGGCGUGGGUCCCACCAACCAAUGGGCUUCUACCCUGAAUGGAAUAAAAAGGAAAAGAAGGAAAGAAGUCUCCCUGUCUCCUGCCUACCCUGCCAUGGACUGUUUCUCUUCUGCGAGGCCCCUCUGCCAUGCCACCCUCCCUUGGAGCUGGCAGACUAUGGACUGAAACCUCCACAAACUAGACACCCGACGAUGAACUGAAACUGCUACAAAGUUUUUUAUGUCUAUUCUGCAAUCAAAUGUUUCAAAACUGUACUUAGUGCUGGUGAGACCAGGUUUUGUCUUUUCAUAUAAAAAUACUAUCAUAGAGCACAUUUUUGGAUAACCGCCAAAGAUCGGAGAGAAUCUAAAUUUCAUUCAACAGAAAUCUGCUUCGCUAAAUGUAUGGGGAUCGAUCUCGGUCCUUGCGUUCCAUAGCAGGUGGUGAAACCACUGAGCUAAAAAAAUCCCGGCCACAUCAAGGAAUUUAAAAGGAAGAUGAACUUAACUUGAGAUGGCUUUACAAAUGAGAUAUGAAGAAAAAAAGGACUUUGGAACUGUACGGGGUAUUGAUUUGAAGAGACAAGAAGGAAAUGAAUAAAU
rnacentral:lncRNA from 1 species